rnacentral:rRNA from 1 species
UUUGGAGGAAAUGUAGGGGAUCGAAAGACCUUAUGCUUUUGGAGCGGCCGAUGUCUGAUUAGCUAGUUGGUGGGGUAAUUGCCUACCAAGGCGACGAUCAGUAGUUGGUCUGAGAGGACGACCAGCCACACUGGGACUGAGACACGGCCCAGACUCCUACGGGAGGCAGCAGUGGGGAAUUUUGGACAAUGGGGGCAAGCCUGAUCCAGCAAUGCCGCGUGAGUGAAGAAGGCCUUCGGGUUGUAAAGCUCUUUCAGUUGAGAAGAAAAGAUUGUAACUAAUAAUUACAGUUCAUGACGGUAUCAACAGAAGAAGCACCGGCUAACUACGUGCCAGCAGCCGCGGUAAUACGUAGGGUGCAAGCGUUAAUCGGAAUUACUGGGCGUAAAGGGUGCGCAGGCGGUUCUGUAAGUCAGAUGGAAAUCCCCCCGCUAAGCCCGGGC